AGUGACAAAGCUCUGGAAAACAGAGCCUGAAACCAGCCAAGAGUUUUUCUUUGCCUACCAUAGCUGCAAAGGUUGCUGGGAAAUCUAUUUUUCAGCCACGUUCUCGUUGUCCUCAACUCCAAGUGAAGAUUUCUUUCGUUCUCCGAAGGGGAGAAUGGAUCUCGAAUUGUCAGGCCUUUGCCGUCUCUCAUUUCCGAUAACUGAAACUUGAACCUAAGUCUCUGGAUGUGCUGGGGUCCUGGGGACCAGGACUGCUGGGUGCCCUGAGAUCGCCGUUCCCUAAGGUCCCAGGAAACCACGGAGUGCGGGAACGUUCCUGCCGCUGCUCCCUGGCUCCCGGUCACCGCUGGACACGCUGCCAAUUCAAGUUGCAUUCGAGAUUUUGUUGGCCUCAGCCAUCCAUGCAAAUUAGCAAUUCAGCUCCCUUUCUCAGGUCAUUAAUAUUCACAUGAGUUCCUGUUGUGUGAGAACUUGGACCACUACAUGAUUUAGAAAGAGCUCCACGAGGCUGAAGGAAAGCCAGAGUGUCCGCUGACAGUGAGUUAUUCACAACGGAUUGUUUAUGCCUGCUUCUCUCCUAGAACUAAAUCAUCAUCCACCCGCCCUUCCACUCCCCUGUCAGUUAGCGCCUGCUGGGAACCAGGUCUGGCACUAGACACUAGGAACUGGCAGGUGGGUGAGAAGCGUGGUCUUCCGAGAGCCUCGAAGUCUGUGACAUCGGCAGAGAGCUGUGCCUGGUACCUAGGGGUCAACGGGGAGGUGCUUCUGUGUGCAGAACCUGCACCUGAUCCUUCUGUUAGUCAAGCUGGGGUAACUGAGGUCACGGCAGCGCUGUAGAGAGAAGCCCAGCUCUUGGAUGUGCUCCAACCCCUGCUUUUAGAGGUGAGAAAACCAGAGGGGCUGCGUGACUUCCUUCAAGACGCACAGCUGGCUCAGCAGGACAAGGAAGCCAGGCCUCGGUUGCUAAGCCCUGGGCUCGCCUCGCCGUAUGAUGGUGCUCUUAGGUUUGUCCUCUGAGGCCACCUCGUGUGCAACAGACAUGUGACAGCUUUGCUCUGGGCAGCUCCAACCCAGCACAGCCGGAGAAGGGAUCUUGGGAUCCUAAUGGACACAGACAGGGGCCCUGGGCUUGGUUUCCGGGCUGGCUAAGCCGCCCUCCCCUCCUCUGCUCCCUGUCUCCUAUCCCAGCUGAUAACGCUCCUGGGUCAGCCCAUUGUUCGUGACAGCAGGUCCAAUGUCUUCUCCGUCUGAAGUUCACGGCACACACAGGCACGGAGCGCCUGCUCUGGGGCAGGUGCGGGUGCAGGUCCCCGGUGCACCUGUGAGUAGAGCGCUGAUGCCUGUCAACUUCACGGUGCAGUAGGGACCUCGACAAAAAGCAGCAGGCGGUGAGUAAGUGCACCUUCAAAAGGAUUGUGUUCCCUUAUUGGAAAGGCAGAACGAGAGAUAGAGAAAGUUGCCAUUUGCUGGUUCGCUCCCCAAAUGGCUACAACAGCCAGGGCAGGGCCAGGCCAAAGCCAGGAGCCUGGCAUUCAAUCUGGGUCUUCCUGGGCCGUCCUCUGCUGCUUUCCCAGGUGCGUUAGCAGGGAGCUGGCUCAGAAGCGGAACAGCAAGGAAUUGAACCGGCGCCCAUAUGGGAUGCCGGCAUCGCAGGCAGUGGCUUUGCCCACUGCGCCACAGCGCCAGGUCCUAUAAGCACAAUUUGAAGACAAUAAACACCAGAGAAAGAGGAGAAUAGGGAGGUUAGGAGACUUGCAGAAGGCUGUGUUCAAAAUGUUCAUGAAAAAUGCCUAGUAUGACAAAAUUAUGCAUGGAUUUCAAUUUUUUUGCACCAAAAUAAAGUUAUCUUUUAAUUCUAUUCCAUGAACUUUUUGAAGUAUCCUCACAUUUGGGUGUGUGGGUAAGUGUGCAUGUGUGUGUGUUUCUGUGUGCACAAGCACUUUCUUUUUUUUUUUUUUUUUUUAUUUAUUUUUGACAGGCAGAGUGGACAGUGAGAGAGAGAGACAGAGAGAAAGGUCUUCCUUUGCCGUUGGUUCACCCUCCAAUGGCCGCCGCGGCCAGCGCGCUGCGGCCGGCGUACCGCGCUGAUCCGAUGGCAGGAGCCAGGAGCCAGGUGCUUCUCCUGGUCUCCCAUGGGGUGCAGGGCCCAAGCACCUGGGCCAUCCUCCACUGCACUCCCUGGCCACAGCAGAGGGCUGGCCUGGAAGAGGGGCAGCCGGGACAGAAUCCGGCGCCCCGACCGGGACUAGAACCCGGUGUGCCGGCGCCGCAAGGCGGAGGAUUAGCCUAGUGAGCCGCGGCGCCGGCCGGCACUUUCAAGCGUGGUUUAUUUGAAAGGUGGAGUUACAG